rnacentral:piRNA from 1 species
UUCUUUUGGCUGAGAAAAUUUCAUGGA